UACGUAGGUGGCAAGCGUUGUCCGGAAUUAUUGGGCGUAAAGCGCGCGCAGGCGGCCUCUUAAGUCUGAUGUGGAAGCCCCCGGCUCAACCGGGGAGGGCCAUUGGAAACUGGGAGGCUUGAGUAUAGGAGAGAAGAGUGGAAUUCCACGUGUAGCGGUGAAAUGCGUAGAGAUGUGGAGGAACACCAGUGGCGAAGGCGACUCUUGGCCUAUAACUGACGCUGAUGCACGAAAGCUAGGGGAGCAAACAGG
rnacentral:rRNA from 1 species